ACUGGCGGCUACAAUUUGCUUUGCGGAAGCCUUAGUAACCGAUGUAGACGCGUGGCAUUGCGGGCACUAACGAGAAGUGGAACGAGAUAUUUAAAAAAAAAUCAUACUGCGAUAGUACAACGUUUCUUCAGUCGUUUUUUUUUUCAAACCCGAUAGGCUAUUACAGCAGUGUCGGUCUUCUCUGAAGGACGAUACCUUAAUUUGUUCUGCUAAAGUGGGUGUUUGCCGUGAAAGGAAUUUGGUGUUUAUCCCUGUCUAGACGAAGUCAGGUAGUUCGGACGUGAUACAAUAGCAAAGCGUGUAGUGAGUGAAAGGUAUCGCAAUAGAUUGUGAAAAAAAAAUACAAUUUUAAAUAAUUUCUAUUAUGAUUAGUUUUUUGUGAAACAUGCUGAUAGUAUGAAACCAGUCAAAUUGACUGUCUUUCACAGAACGGUGAUCAUAAGCAAGUGCUGUUGUUGGAAUGUAGCUCUCCAUUUACUAGCUGCUAUUAGUACAGCUAAUAGUACAGGCGUGACGUAGUAAAAAGAGUAUAAAUUAGCAGCCCUCAAUGCUCAAAUCCACUCAAUCAAGACCCACUCCAGGUCUUGUUUUGCCGGUACACUUUACACAAAAUCGUGCUGCGUAAAACAAGUAACAUUCACUUAGCUCCGUGCAGUACCAGUGAACCGCCAAAAGAGAAGUGGAGAAGCAACAAAACGGUCAAUCAUUAUGGAAUUAAUCACGAGCAAGAAUGUUAACAAAAUGACCAGCUGGUCAACCAACAGAGCCCUUCCUGCGCUCCGAGCCAUUAAUAGCCCGGGAAGAAAUAGAGUCGGUAAUUACACGGCCAUUAGCUACCGAUGUACUUCUGCUGCCUCGGUCACGUAGAAGAACCACCAAAUGCCCCACGGACGCACCCCUAGCACAGCGUUUGCAAUCAAUUUUCGCGCGGCGUGUUCGCAAUGCUCGGAGCCGUCUCGCCGGAUUCCUUCGACACGCUGCACUCGUACAGCAACACC